GACGAACGCUGGCGGCGUGCUUAACACAUGCAAGUCGAACGCUGAAGCCCUUUCGGGGGUGGAUGAGUGGCGAACGGGUGUGUAACACGUGGGUAAUCUGCCCUGCACUCUGGGAUAAGCCUUGGAAACGGGGUCUAAUACCGGAAAGGACACAUCGCCGCAUGGUGUGUGUGUGGAAAGUUCUGGCGGUGGAGGUUGGGCCCGCGGCCUAUCAGAUUGGUGGUGGGGUGAUGGCCUACCAAGGCGACGACGGGUAGACGGCCUGAGAGGGUGACCGGCCACAAUGGGACUGGGACACGGCCCAGUGUGCUACUGGAGGCAGCAGGGGGGAAUCUUACGCAAUGGGCGAAAGCCUGAGGCAGAAACGCCGCGUGGGGAAUGACGGCCUUCGGGUUGUAAACCUCUUUCGACCGAGACGAAGGGUGACUGACGGUACCGGUAGAAGAAGCACCGGCUAACUACGUGCCAGCCGCCGCGGUAA
rnacentral:rRNA from 1 species